rnacentral:rRNA from 1 species
CCCCUAGAUGUUCUGGGCCGCACGCGCGCUACACUGAACAGUUCAACAAGUCUUAACCUUGGCCGAUAGGUCUGGGUAAUCUUUGAACGCUGUUCGUGAUUGGGAUAGACCUUUGCAAUUAUGGGUCUUCAACGAGGAAUUCCUAGUAAACGCAAGUCAUCAGCUUGCAUUGAUUACGUCCCUGCCCUUUGUACACACCGCCCGUCGCACCUACCGAUUGAAUGGUCCGGUGAAAUCUCGGGACGGCGGCUUGGUCGCUUGCGUCCGACUGCUGAAACUUGAUUAAACCAUAUCAUUUAGAGGAAGGUGAAGNCGUAANA